rnacentral:sRNA from 1 species
UCGAUCGGGGUACUCAUCAAUAAUUACCUGAAUGCCGAGACAAGCUUACCUGUUCAAUGGCGUGCCGACACGCUUGCGGAGUCGGAUUACAGAGACGGGAAGCCCUCAAAUCUUAUCAUACUCGGAGUUCCAUCACAUCAUCGGCGCAGCCUUUUU